GACGAACGCUGGCGGCGUGCUUAACACAUGCAAGUCGAACGGUCAAGCGCCUUCCUUUUUGUUGUGUUUUUAGGGGUGGCGAACGGGUGAGUAACUCGUUAGUAACCUGCCCCGUCUUGCUGGAUAACCGCAUAAAGGAGUGGCUAAUACGUGAUAUUCUGGGUCUGUCGGAUCAUAGGUCUGGGAAGGAUUUUGUUUCAGUUGGGGAUGGGUCCGCGGUGGAUUAGCUGGUUGGUGGGGUAAGGGCUUACCAAGGCAGUGAUGGAGAGCAGACCUGAUGGGAGGGUGGACGGUCCUGCGGGGAAUGAGACAUCGAGACGCCUCCUAAGGGAGGCAGUAGGGGGGAAUAUUGCACAGUGGGAGCACGGCUGAUGCAGCGCCGCCGCGUGAGGGAUGGAGGCCGUCGCGUUGUGAACCUUUUUAGAGAGUGAAGCAGGGUUGAAUUGUUUGUGCAUGGGUUGACGGUAGCUGGAUAAGAAGCGACGGCUAACUACGUG
rnacentral:rRNA from 1 species